GGGCUGCAGACGAGAAUAUUCCGCAAUGGGCGAAAGCCUGACGGAGCGACGCCGCGUGCUGGAUGAAGUGCUUUGGUACGUAAACAGCUUUUAUCGGGGACGAAGUUUAUUGACGGUACCCGAUGAAUAAGGGGCUCCUAACUCUGUGCCAGCAGGAGCGGUAAUACAGAGGCCCCAAGCAUUACCCGGAAUCACUGGGCGUAAAGGGUGUCGAGGCGGCCCUAGUAGUCGUUCGUUAAAUCCGCGGGCCUAACCCGCGGCCUGCGAGCGAAACGGUAGGGCUUCGAGGGUGCGAGAGGUGCACGGAACUCAUGGUGGAGGGGUGAAAUCCGUUGAUAUCAUGGGGAACACCAAGGGCGAAGGCAGUGCACUGGCGCGUUCCUGACGCUCACACACGAAAGCCAGGGUAGCGAACGGGAUUAGAUACCCGUGUAGUC
rnacentral:rRNA from 1 species